AUGUGGCCAACGAUGCCUAGAAGUCCCAUCGUCGUGUCUGCAAGCCUCACCGACAAGCAGAGCAUCACCACGACGAAGAUCGGAACCUCGGGUGCCCUGCAAUUCCGCAACCGAUGCCAUCUCCGCCGCCUCGGCCCGCUGGCCGCCGUCUUCGGUUCGCCGUUGUACGGGGUCCCCGAUGCUCCCUUAUCGUCCAGGAGAUCCACCUGGUGUUGCGGAUCUUCCGAACAUGUCACCGAUGAGAUCUUCUUCGUGAAGCCCCCUCCCCACGACGCUCUCGCUCCGGCGGCCGUAGGCGAGGUCCAUGUACUCGCUAUCGACACUCCCCAACCUCCUCGGCCACUCUAG
rnacentral:rRNA from 1 species